rnacentral:rRNA from 1 species
CCCUUAGACGUUCUGGGCCGCACGCGCGCUACACUGACCAGUGCAACAAGCAUCCGUCCUUGGCCGACAGGCCCGGGCAAUCUUUGAACGCUGGUCGUGAUGGGGAUAGACUUUUGCAAUUUUUGGUCUUCAACGAGGAAUUCCUAGUAAACGCAAGUCAUCAACUUGCAUUGAUUACGUCCCUGCCCUUUGUACACACCGACCGUCGCACCUACCGAUUGAAUGGUCCGGUGAAGCCUCCGGAUUGGCGCGCACCUCGGUGCCGCCGAGAAGUUGGCUAAACCUUACCAUUUAGAGGAAGGUGAAGUCGUANCA